rnacentral:tRNA from 1 species
GGCAGCUUGGCAGAGUGGUCUAAUGCGGUUGACUCGGUACGUUCAACUCUCCUUCGCUCUAACAUUCGCACUUUACUAACAUUCUCCCAGAAAUCAACUCUCCUCGGAGGCGGCGGUUCGAAUCCGCCAGCUGUCG